rnacentral:rRNA from 1 species
AUCAGGUAGGAACACCCGCUGAACUUAAGCAUAUCAAUAAGCGGAGGAAAAGAAAAUAACAAUGAUUCCCCUAGUAACUGCGAGUGAAGAGGGACAAGCUCAAAUUUUAAAUCUGUCGGGUUUUACCCGAUCGAGUUGUAAUUUGAAGAAGCGUUUUCUGCGUAUCUGGUCAGCCCAAGUCCUAUUGAAUGAGGCAUCAUGGAGGGUGAUAAUCCCGUCCGGUUGAUCAUUGCGUUUUAUGAUACGCUUUCUAAGAGUCAAGUUGUUUGGGAUUGCAGCUUAAAAUGGGAGGUAAAUUUCUCCUAAGGCUAAAUAACGGCGAGAGACCGAUAGCGAACAAGUACCGUGAGGGAAAGAUGAAAAGAACUUUGAAAAGAGAGUUAAACAGUACGUGAAAUUGUUGAAAGGGAAACGAUUGAAGCCAGUCGUACCUAUGGGUAAUCAGCCUUUUGGGUGUGAUUUUGUGGAGCGUGGAGAGUUAAACGCCUUCAUGCCUGCAUAUUCGUGCACUUUGGGUGUACUUGCCCGUGUGUAAGUUAACAUCAAUUUUGGUGGUCAUAAAAUGGCUGGAGGAAUGUAGCUUCGAUCUUGUAUUGAAGUGUUAUAACCUUCGGUAGAUGUGACGAUCGGGAUUGAGGAUUGCAACGGAUACCCUUCGGGGCUACCUGUCUGAUCUCUGAUUGUUGCUCUGGUGCCGAAAGCUUGCUUACGGUUAUCAAAGUCGAUGGUCAAUAGGUUAGAACGGGUUAAAUUCGUUAAGGAUGUUGACGUAAUGGCUUUAAACGACCCGUCUUGAAACACGGACCAAGGAGUCUAACAUAUGUGCGAGUGUU